GGUUUGUGUCUCAAAGGCAACAUUUUCUUGUGUGUUGGGGUUGUAAAGUUAUGAUUUUUAAUGCGUAACUGUGAGGAAUUCUUGGGAUUUGGUAAGAGAUUCUUGAUUUGCAAGUGCCCAGCAUGAAAGAAAGAAGAAUUCCCAAAUUUAGCAAACUGGUCUUUAGGUAUUUCCCCAGUGAAGUUAUUGAAUGAAAUAUUCAAGAAAUUGAG
rnacentral:misc_RNA from 1 species